AUGGAAAUGUAUUUGAGGUUUGAAGCUGACUCUUUCGAGAGUAUCUGUGCUCGCCUUGAUUCCAAUCCACAUUUCACACCUGUGCACAUAUUGUAGUUUUGGGGAUUCAGGAGGGGAGUGCUCAUACACUCUUUUCUAUUCUCAACUCUACGUAAUUUUUUUACACAUACUCUAUAUAUGUUUAGAAUGUUAUUAUUUGCGAUAAUAUAAAAAACGCAUUUAAAAA
rnacentral:misc_RNA from 1 species